rnacentral:rRNA from 1 species
AUGAGCGCGGUGGCCGUGGCGCCGCAGGAGACGGCCUCCUUGGGCACCUUGCCGACGCGGUCGAUGGCCUCGGCGAAGAUGACCCCCAUGCCCAUGUGGAGGUGCGGCUCGAUGUGGCAGUGGAACGCCCACACCCCGGGGUUGUCCGCCACGAACCGCAGCGCCGUCCACCCGUACGGGAAGAUCACCGCCGUGUUCCGCAGCGGCGGGUUCACCAGGUUCAGCCUCGCCGCGUCGGCGGCGUCGCCCCUGUACGCGCCCUCGCCGUACCCCAGCACCCAGAAGUCGUGGCCGUGCAGGUGCCACGGGUGCACCUCGCUGACGUUGUGCUGGAGCGCGUUGGCGUUCUGGAGCACCACGUCCACCGUGGUGUUGUGGCGGAGCACGUAG